rnacentral:rRNA from 1 species
GGGUUGUGAGGUUAAGCGACUAAGCGUACACGGUGGAUGCCCUGGCAGUCAGAGGCGAUGAAGGACGUGCUAAUCUGCGAUAAGCGUCGGUGAGGUGAUAUGAACCGUUAUAACCGGCGAUUUCCGAAUGGGGAAACCCAGUGUGUUUCGACACACUAUCAUUAACUGAAUCCAUAGGUUAAUGAGGCGAACCGGGGGAACUGAAACAUCUAAGUACCCCGAGGAAAAGAAAUCAACCGAGAUUCCCCCAGUAGCGGCGAGCGAACGGGGAGGAGCCCAGAGCCUGAAUCAGUGUGUGUGUUAGUGGAAGCGUCUGGAAAGGCGCGCGAUACAGGGUGACAGCCCCGUACACAAAAAUGCACAUAUUGUGAGCUCGAUGAGUAGGGCGGGACACGUGGUAUCCUGUCUGAAUAUGGGGGGACCAUCCUCCAAGGCUAAAUACUCCUGACUGACCGGUAGUGAACCAGUACCGUGAGGGAAAGGCGAAAAGAACCCCGGCGAG